UUUUUUUAUGAUUCACCUGUCUUAUUCUCCUAUAUGCAACCACAGAGUAAUGACCAAAUGAAAAUUAAUACCCUUCCCAACCUACUAUGUUGUGAUACCAAACUUCCCUUCCGAAUACCUUGCCUAAGAAGAAUAAACUAGAAAGCCUUCCUCAAAAGAGUCAACAAGAAGAAUAUCACAGCUCCACAGGAUCCCCUCCCCAUGGUCAGCCAUACUCAGGCAGAGUCAGAGAGCUCAGGGUCCAGGCAGCAGAGCAAGCAUCCUGCAGCAGACUGUGUGCAGUCUCAGGAACCACUUCCCUUUCCCAGACAUCAGUACAUCACUUCAAGGGAGGAAGCUGUCUUUGAAAAUCAGUAAUAAAAUAUGCCAUGCAAAUGUGCUAUUUUUAAGGAUGAGACUCCUUUUUUCCAGAUACUUCAACCUGUAUUAGUUGCAAGGUACGUAAAACUUUCCACACUAGAUCUUUUCUUUCAGAGACCUGAAAAGGCACCCCAGUUUCCAGUAAGGAGAACUUUGCUACAUCUCUUGUGGUCUUUGUGUUCUCCAUUUAAAGCAUGUUUUAGGAUUUCCUGUAGUGGCUCAGUGGAAAGGAUUCUGACUAGGAAUGAUGAGGUUGGGGGUUUGAUCCCUGGCCUUGUUCAGUGGGUUAAGGAUCCAGCAUUGCCAUGAGCCGUGGGGUAAGCCACAGACGUGGCUCGGAUCUGGCCUUGCUGUGGCUCUGGCGUAGGCUGGCAGCAACAGCUCCAAUUAGACCAAUAGCCUGGGAACCUCCAUAUGCUGCAGGUGUGGCCCUAAAAAGACAAAAGACAAAAACAUGUUUUAUUGUUUAUUUCUCAGUGGAGUUUGGGUAGAACUGGGAUUAGGAAUUAAACACACAUCUUGGAGUUGGCAGAGAGCACAACAAAUCCAUGGUGGUGACUGAGACUUUAUGUUGCCGUUAAAGCCAGGUCAUAAUCUAUGAAGCUGAAAGAUAGCUGUCCUGAGCCCUCCAGAUGGGUCACUUCAAUACUUUUCCAAAGGCUUCAAAAUGACCUUUCUGAUAUUACACAGAUCCAGCCACAUGGCAAAUCUUCCCAGAAGCUCUUACAUUAGACUUCCGGUAUCUUUCUUCCAAGCAAAGAAUUAUUACUCACUUCUCAUAAUGCAAGAUGUUUCUUAAAACAUAUUUUAUGUUUUCUUAAAAAUGUAUAUAAUGUGAUCUAGAUGCAUAACCCUGGGAGAGUAUUAACUCCUGUGCACAUAAAGGAGUUUCCAGUUGUUUCCACAUGAGGUAUUAUUCUUAGAUACACACCUGAUGGUAUGUAGUGAAUUUUAAGUUCAAAAUUAAGAUUUGUGUGUAAAAAUGUGAAGAUUUCAGGAAAACCUUAUCUAUAUGAUCCAAUCAUUUUUCCCCCAACCAUCUACUCUUCUACGCAAAAUAUUUUCAAAAAGAAAAUGGGAUGACUUAGAAAUAGUUUUACACUAACAUUUUCCUUCAAAAGAAUGUAAGGGGAAAAAAACACACACACACUAAGUUCAGUGCCUGUGGUUUCAAGAUGAACAUGAUAUACAGAGCAACAUCAAUGUAUUUCUCAUCCCACACACAGAGACUAUUUUCAAUGUCAAGAGCGUCUCAUAAAAACACUACUUUUUUCAGGCUAGCACUGUUUAGAAGAUUUGAAAAUAGCAGGUGAAAUCCACUAACAUGUGGCUGGAAACAACUCCUCCAGAAAACCCUUUGCCAAGCGGGAUGUCAUUUCACCCACAGUUUUGAACACACCAGAAGUCGUGCCCUUCCUCGUGACCCUUCUAUCCAAGCCACGCUGAGAGCUAAGCACCCAUCUGAAAGGAGUGUCUCAGCUUUUGUUGAAUAAAUUAUUCCAGGAGAAAUGGUAGAUAAGGAUUUAGCAUAGCGUCACCAGCACAAGCCCAGUAAUGCAUUUCCUGGGGUUGAAUUUGUCUCCUUACACACCUGUUCCCUAUGCCAGAAUAAAUUAAGUUCUCUAAGCGAGUUUCCCUAUCUGGGAAAUUAGGAUGGCACCGCCCUGUGCUAGAGAGGACACCAACUCUAACAACCAGGGACUAAGCAGAACAGUCCUCAGGACAUAGUGGACAUUCAAUCCUCAUCAGUGAUUGCUACUGUCAUUGUUACAAGGGUGUUAAUAUAAAUCAAUGUAGUAAGAGCACACCCAUUUAUAAUAAGUCCUUUUCUAGAAUGCCACAUGAUUGAACAGAACUAUAGAAUUAACUUCUUAAAAUGUGGACAUUCUAAGAUGGCUAAAGUGUGCAUAUCAUAUUUAGCCAUGUUCUAGGGGAAGCCUCUGCAAUCCACAGAUACAAAUAGCAGUUCUCACUAUUUCUGCUAAUUUGUAACCCUGUAAGAAUAUUAAUGUGUGUACAUAGGAAGGAGUAUUAAAAUUCUAUUUCAGGGGAAGGUAUAUGUGUAGAAAAUUAAAGAAUUCAGGAAAUUUUAGUUGUACAAUCUAACAAUUCUUUCGUACUAUUGUACCAAAAAAAGUACUUUUGAUAAUUUGGAAAAGACUCCUUUGUGUAUAAAGGGGAUAUCAAUGAACAUAUAGUCCAGUAAUUUCCAAUAAUAGAGUCUAUUUUAAAAGCACAUGGAAAAUAUCAGAGCUGGAGGACUCACACUUCCUGGUUUUAAAACUUAAGAUAAACUGCAGUAAUCAGAAGAGUGUGGUAUUGGCACAAAGGCAGACAUACAAACCAAAGGAAUAGAAGAGAAAGCUCAGAAAUAAUCCCUUACAUAUAUGGGCAAAUGAUUUUUAACAAGGGUUCCAAGACCAUUCAAAGGGAAAAGAUGGUCAAUAAAUGGUGGUGGGAAAACUGCAUAUCCACAUACCAAAAAGGGAAAAAAAAGUUUGGCCAUAUAUGAAAUUAACUAAAUAUGGAUCAAACACCUAAAGGUGAGAUGUAAAACUAUAAUAUAAAACUCUUAGAAGAAAACAUAAGGCAAAAGCUUCAUUACAUUUGAUUUGGCAAUGAUUUCUUGCUUAUGACAUCAAAGGCAC
rnacentral:lncRNA from 1 species